ACAAAUCCAAUGAAACGGAUGCUCCACAUUCAAUAUGGAAGACUUGGAAUGAUCGAUUGAUCGAUCGUAUCAUGUAUUGAAGAUCCAUUUUUAUGACUUCAUUUAUAUCUUAAAUUUCCCAUUCUUUUGUUUAACAUUUCAGAUAGGAGCCUUUGCAGCACCUGAUAAAAUUCAUUGGGCACCUAGCCUCCCAAAAACAAGGAGUGGAAAGAUAAUCAGAAGAGUUCUUAGAAAAAUUGCUUCCAAGCAGGUAGAUGAACUUGGAGAUACAAGUACCCUUGCAGAUCCAACUGUGAUCAAUCAACUUAUAGAACUUGCUGAUUCUUAAGGACCUACACUUUUUUGUAAUAAUAGUGGUGUGGUAUAUUACCAUAGCUGAAAGCCAAUAAGAGUAAGAUUUUUUACCAAAUUAGUCAAAGUGGGUAGUGAUAGGACAAUUCUUUUGCCUUAUUCCUAGAUUCAUUGCAGAUUGAUCUAGCACUCACUAGAUUCAAAAAAGGAACUGCCACUUUGUGUACCUUUACAUCUCAACAAUAUGUUGUUCUAAUGAACUUCACGCUAUUUUUUACACAAUAAAUGUUAUAUUUUAUGAUUGUGGCUCAUAUGAAUGGAAGGAUAACUUACUAGUUUCUAGGAAUUGGAACUCUGCAUUCUUUAUUAUUUUUUUCAUUUUCCAUAAACACGUAUUAGAAACUAAAUAAGCCAUUUUCAACUAUUAUUAGACUAGUGUUGGUAAAUUAACUUUUUCAGGUGUGGAAUUCAAUUAUGGUAUUGUUCAAUUUAUAUAGUCGAUCUCAUUUAAUGGAAUUAAGGAUUGAUUGUCCGUUAGGGUUGUAGGUGCAGAAUUGAAUUAGGAAAUUAAGACACUUGCAUCAACUGUGCUUGGGUCUGUCCUAACCCAUUUGCUUAACAAUUUAUAUUCGGUAGCAAGCGACAUUGCCUUAGAAAAGCAAUUAGGCAAGCAGCUUCAAAAAUUGAAAUAUUUUCAGAGACAACAUAGAAGGGUUGGCCUUUAGUCAGUACGCAAUAUCUAUUUUCACUAAAAAUCAACAGGGUGGAGUUAUAUUAAUUUACGUGGGGGUAAAGGAGAGAGAAUAAUUACCAUUAAAGGAGUGAAAUAUGACUUUCUUUUUUAAAACACAACAAAUAAACUUAAAAAUAUAGUUGUACGAAUAUAAAAUUUCUUGGAGAGUUACUAUCUCUUUAUAUUUCUUUUGAUAAGACUGAGUAUAUUACUUUAAAGUUCAAACAUAUUUAAGCAGUUAAUUUUGACAAUGAUAAUUUCCAUCUAUUAUUCUUAUUUGGUCAAGGAAAGAAAGUAAGAAUAAAAAAUGUAUGAGAGAUAAUAAAAGGAAAGAAAAGGUGAGAUAAAAAAUAGUUACAGAGCAUAAUUGACACUGAGUAACCGAUUAAUUACUUGUAUUAAUCGAUUACCAUUUUCGACAACAAAUUUUGACAAUUGAUUACACCCGUGGUAAUCGAUUACACAUAGAUGUUGCAACCAAUUUUUCAAAUGAAGAGUUUUCAUUGAAAGUGAAAGGGUUUCAACUCUAAUCAUGUGCUAACUUUUGGAAGGGUACCAUGACUAAUUGGAAUCUUAUUUAUAGACCUUGGAACAUUCACACAACAUACAACUUUCAUAUCAUUAACACACUUGCUUCUUAAAACUCUUUUAAACAAAUUUCUGCAGUCUGUCUUGCAACUUUGUUUCCAAACUUUUAGAUUUUAUGAAGCUGUUUCAAGUGCAAAGUUCUAAAGUUUUUCAAACAUUUUAGAGCAUUGUUUUAGUAAGUGUAUUGAGAUAAAAAAGGAUUGCAAGUUAUAACAUUGUCAAACUUGUAAAGACUAUCCUGGCAUUGAUAUAUUCAUCAUCUUGUUGUUAAAUUUUCAUCACAAGGGUGUGGUGAGAAGGGGAAAACGUUCACUUGGAAAUGUUAUUUUCCAAUGGUAGAUAUUUGUGAGUGUGUAAGGUACAAGGGUCUCGGAGAGAGAAUUUUUAAUUGCAACUCAAAGUAUCUAGUGGAAAAUUCCUUGUGUGACAAGAGUACUGGAUGUAACAUUCGAUGAACAAGAAGAUGAACCAGUAUAAAAAUUCUCUGCGUACUCUUCUUCUAUUCUAUUCUUGUGGUUUCAUUUUUGCUUUAAUUUGGUUGAAUUAUGCAUCAACAUUCAGCUGUACAAACACUUUGAUAUAACAACAUAAAAAUCGACCAUUUCUCCCAACAACUAAUUCACCAUACUCUUAGUUGUCAUCUCAUACUCUUAGCUCAAGUGAUCAAUGACUUGCAGAAACUUGAUGUAAAGGUUGAUGAUGAGGACAAAGCAAUAAUAUUACUGUGUUCUUUGCCAAAUUCCUAUGAACAUUUGGUGACAAUAUUGACGUACAGGAAAGACUCAAUCAAACUGGAUGAGAUCACAUAUGCACUUCUGUCCCAUACUCAAAGAAGACAGAAUGUAGGUGAAAGAUCUCAGGGUGAUGAUCUGUAUGUGAAAGGGAGUCAAGCGCGUGGGAGGAGACAAGGCAAAGGAGGUCCCGCAAAAGGGAAAAGACCAAAUUCCAGGGGUAGAACAACAGUAGAGUGCUAUAAGUACAAACAGACUGGGCAUUACAAAAAGGAUUGUCCCAAUGAAUGGAGUCCUAGCAAGCCGGUCGGAAAAGACGAAGUAUCUACAUCUACAAAUGUUGCACAUAAAGAUGACUCUGGUUACAACAGUGAAGUUGAUGUACUAUCUGUAUCAUCAAAUCAUAGUACAGAUGAGUGGAUACUUGACACUGGUUGUUCCCACCACAUGACGCCAAACAGAGAAUGGUUCAUCACAUAGAGGGUAUACAAUUUUGGUUUCGUGUAUCUCAUAAAUAAUAAAGCAUGUGAAAUUAGUGGUAUGGGAGAACUCAGAGUUGUGAUGGAUGAUGGUGUACUGAAGACGUUAUGCGAGGUUAGGCACAUACCAGAUUUGAAAAAGAAUUUGGUUUCUUUGUGUAUAGAGCUGAUGGGGAGAGUGAUAUUCUUUGAGUAUGCAAAGGUGCUCGAAGAACAGUUGAUUGUGAGAACAAUGAUAUUCUUUGAUUGUGAUGAAGUGUAAAAUGACUGCAGGGAACACUUACAAGUUGUUAGGUAGAACAGUUGUAGGUGGAGUUGUUGGAGUGGUUGAAGAGAUCUCAGUAGAUUCAGACCAUGGUGCUACAAAGUCUUUGUAAUAAUUUGGCAUUGUUAGUUCACAGAUUGAGAAUUAUUAUAGUCAAGGAAUUGCAAAGCAUAACACACUUCUAAUCUGGUAACAACUUGAAUGCAGACUCCCAAUUAUCCUGAUGCUGGGCGCUGUUGGGACAUUGUUGACAAAUAUAAAGUGACAAUAUUUUACACUGCCCCUACAUUGGUGCGGUCGCUCAUGCGUGAUGGUGAUGAGGUAAGAUAAGUCUAUGUUUACAGGUGUACAGCAUAACCAUGUGACAAGUUAUUUUUGACUACAUGCUUCUGGACACACACACACACCAGCACAUAUCGUCUCUUUUAGCCUACCUCUGCCCAUCUCACAAAUUAGUGUCAACCUCCGAUUGAAGGUCGGAGAAACUUACUAUUGUCCGUUGUGAAUAAAAUGAAUUCCUAUAAUAUUUUCCAUAUAUAUUUGCAAUCUUCUCUACUCAAUUAUCCUGAUAAAAAAUUCAAGGUCUUGUUGUAAUGAAGCUCAGAAGCUUCCUCAACUAAAAUCGAUAUAUUUUUCUCUCUUAUGGGAAUACAACCUGUGCUUUAUAUUGAUGCAGUAUGUUACUCGCUACUCAAGGAAAUCUUUACGAGUCCUGGGAAGUGUAGGGGAGCCCAUAAAUCCAAGUGCAUGGAGGUUAUUAUCAAUAUUUUCCUAGCUAACUACAACUUAAUUUCCUAUAUCAAAGAAUAUUCUAAUGCAUUUUUUUGUCUCUUCCAGGUGGUUUUACGACGUUGUGGGAGAUUCAAAGUGCCCUAUCUCUGAUACUUGGUGGCAAACAGAAUCUGGAGGCUUUAUGGUAUUUUAAUUUCCAAUGAAUAUGUAAAACUUGAUUCUAGCAGUAGGCACUGAUCAUGUAACAUAGGUUCAUUCCAUAAGUAGCAAUAAUUCAAUUGGUUGCAUACCACAUGUGCACAGAUCAAGUGGCAAUCAAUAGUUGGGUUGUUAUGGACCAUAGUCUUAGGUUCAAUCUCAACACGAAAAAACUAUACAGAUAAAUAGAAACUUAUCAUAUGUGUACAUUUCUCUCCCGGAGACUUAAAUUAAUCAUGGUUGUUUGCAGAUAACCCCACUACCAGGUUCUUGGCCCCAGAAGCCCGGUUCUGCGACUUUUCCUUUCUUUGGAGUUCAGGUAUUUUAUGCAGGUCCUAUGUGUUAAUUUUAUAAUAUAAUGAAAUUGUUUAAUCUCUUUUAUUUUCUUAUACUUUGCCUUUAUCACUGAAAAAUUUGUUGCAACUGUAGACUGCCAUAGUGGAUGAGAAAGGUGUUGAAUUAGAAGGUGAGUGCAAUGGUUAUUUGUGUGUAAAGAGCUCAUGGCCUGGGGCGUUCAGAACUCUGUAUGGUGAUCACGAAAGAUACGAAACAACAUAUUUCAAGCCAUUUGCCAACUACUAUUUUAGUGGUGAUGGCUGCAAAAGGUCAGUGAUUUACUAUCAUUAGAUGCUCAUAAGCUCUGUUGCAUGGAUAUGAUACACAAAUACAUUGGUUUUUUUCAAAUUUAAGAUUUGGGCACGACAGUAUAUAUUAAAUAAAUAUUUAAAAGGGUUGUCUAGGUCACGAGGCUCCCACCUAGUAGGGUCCGGAAAUGGUAUAAAAACAAGCAUAAAUUGUUUCCAAGAUUGACUUUUGACUGUCCAAAUCACCGGGCAAGAAACCUUAUGUUGUGUUGAGGUUCACCCGGCUCGCCCUCUAUAUUAUAAGAUAUUUGUGUAUGAAAAUUAAAUUAAAGUUAUCUACCUGUGAUCACCUCAGAAUUAGAUCUAUUUAUCUACCUGUGGUCAUGUCAGAAUUAGUUACCUCAGAAUUAAAGUUAUCUUCUAUUUAUUUAAACAUCAAAACUCAUAUGUGAGUGUGAAUUAAAAUGUUCCAAUUUCAAGGAUAUUUGCAUACUUCAAUUUGAGUCCACUAACUGUUAUAUUACUUCAAAUACGAGGAGCAUGCCAACAUAGUUUUAUUUUGUUCGAUACAUUACACUGUGUUUCAGGGAUAAUUUGAUACAUUGCACUGUUUCAGGGAUAAAGAUGGGUACCAUUGGCUCACCGGAAGAGUUGAUGAUGUCAUCAAUGUCAGGUAUUCUUUGACUUCCAAAAGCUCUUCAAUGUUUCCUCAGUCUUGAAAUUUCUUCUCGUAUAGUUAUAAGCACGUAAACAUGAAUAUUGAAUAGACAGAAUUGAAGCAUCCAUGCAGUUCCAUAUAAGUGUUAUAUAAUCAUGUUAUAUGCAGUGGACAUCGGAUCGGCACAGCUGAAGUGGAAUCAGCUUUAGUUUCACAUCCUAAAUGUGCAGAGGCUGCCGUGGUUGGUGUGGAGCAUGAGGUAUGGUUAUGAAUAUAACAAUAUUGUGUGAGUCGUCAAGUUUGUGCUUGUAUGCACGAAUGAAAGUUUAGUUUCUGAAUAGCUUUAACAUGUGACUACUGCCUGUAUCUAAAUGAACCAUAUGUUAUUACUGUAGGUCAAAGGACAAGGUAUCUAUGCAUUUGUUACUCUUGUGGAUGGUGUUCCUUACAGUCAAGAACUACGGAAGGAGCUCAUACUCACCGUUCGGCAACAGGUCUGUACCUAUACUUGAUCCAUUAUAUCUUCUCAUGUAAUAACAGUCUUGUUUUCACUGUUUCCUUCACAAAAUCCUUGUAAACAGGAAACAAAUUGAAAACAUGUCAUCUUGGUAAUUAAAAAUGAAAAGAUAUCCACCUCAAAGAAAUGAUAUCAAAUGAGAAUGAAAACAUUAAACGAGCCAAACAUCGCCUUAAUUUCUAUUGUCGUUUCCUUCGUGAAAAAUGUCUAUCCUAUGGUGCCAUAGGCAUUGUCUCAACUCUCAAGUGAAAUAACAUGUUUUUUCUUUACACUUUGACACUACCAAUCAUAUGAUUAUUACAGAUCCAUAUAUGGAAAGACAUUUUCCUUUACAUCUAGUACAAAUCCAAUGAAACGGAUGCUCCACAUUCAAUAUGGAAGACUUGGAAUGAUCGAUUGAUCGAUCGUAUCAUGUAUUGAAGAUCCAUUUUUAUGACUUCAUUUAUAUCUUAAAUUUCCCAUUCUUUUGUUUAACAUUUCAGAUAGGAGCCUUUGCAGCACCUGAUAAAAUUCAUUGGGCACCUAGCCUCCCAAAAACAAGGAGUGGAAAGAUAAUCAGAAGAGUUCUUAGAAAAAUUGCUUCCAAG
rnacentral:lncRNA from 1 species